UUUGAACUUUUUAAAAAUUAUUAAAAGGCUUAUUUGUAUGAUGUAACUUGAUUUCUGUGCUAUUGUGCAAUUUGGAUUUAUUGAAAAAGUGAAGAUGCUAAGUCCGGAUUCUUGUGCUUGUAAUUCUGGUAUUUGUAAUUCUUGCAUUAAGGAAAACCUCAGUUGAGUUCAGAUGUUCUAGACAGUAAUUCAGACUGAAGAAAAAAAUGGCUCUUUGAGAACAAGCAGCCUGAAGCAAUG